AUGCAAACUUCUUCAGGCCCGGGUCCUUGGGGGGCUCCUAGUCUAGCCUAUUUCUCGGCUACCACCUGGCUCCUCCCGGUUUCUUUGUGGACCUCCUCCUUUUCCCCCCCUCCUCCCUCUCCCCUUCUCUGGGCGGGGUUGGUCUCCAGUAAGGGGAGGGCUGACCACUCCUCCCUGCCCCGCCCCACCCCUUCCCAUGUGCUUCCUGGGGGGCUGUUGCAGGCCCCAGCAGGGGCACUCUGGGCAGCUGGGAGAAGACCCAUCUGGGCAAGCCUCCCUGCGGCCCCACAGCCAGCCUGCCUACUUCUCUUUCAGGUUUCUCCAAGUGCCUCCCUGCUCCUGUUUGCUUCCCCAUCUCUCCAGGUUUCCGUCUUCCCAGUUCCCUUCCUGGGCUGGUGGCAGUGGGGGCUGUGCCUGGUGGGCCCCACAGAGAUGCUCAGUGCUCGGGAUCGCCGGGACCGGCCCCCCGAAGAGGGGGCAGCUGCAGUGCUCCAGGGCUUCGCCGUGGACAAGACCUUCCUCUCCUCCCUCAAAGGCAUCUUGCUGGAAACUGAGCUGGCCCUGACCUUCAUCAUCUUCAUCUGCUUCACGGCCUCCAUCUCUGCCUACAUGGCUGCAGCACUACUUGAGUUCUUCAUCACACUCGCUUUCCUCUUCCUCUACGCCACCCAGUACUAUCAGCGCUUCGAUCGGCUGAACUGGCCCUGUCUGGACUUCCUCCGCUGUGUCAGUGCCAUCAUCAUCUUCCUGGUGGUCUCCUUUGCUGCUGUGACCUCCCGGGAUGGAGCUGCCAUUGCUGCUUUUGUUUUUGGCAUCAUCCUGGUUUCCGUCUUUGCCUAUGAUGCCUUCAAGAUCUACCGGACUGAGAUGGCACCCAGGACCACCCAGGGUUGGCAAGAAUGAAGUUCCAGAGGCAGUGUCACUCCUCAUCAUGCAGUUUUUGCUGAGAAAGGAAUAAAAGCUUGUUGACCUGGGACUCGGCGAUGUCCGCCCGCUCCUCUGCCUCAUCCAGCUCGUGCUGCACCUUGCGGAACUUGGACAGGGUGCCUGACAUAGCUCUGAGCACCCAGAGCACGUGGAACGUCCAGUCCCCAUGCUGAGGCAGACACCUGCCAAUUCUCACACAUGAGAGGUAUGUUGACAGAGAAUGGAGAAAACCAUGAACUCACUGCCUCCUCUGCCUGGCGCUUGUAGGCCUUGACCUUCAGUUGCAGCUUGUCCACCAGGUCCUGCAGCCGCAGCAGGUUCUUCUUGUCCUCCUCCGUCUGGGGGUGGAUGGAUGGGAGAAGCCAAUUGAGAGGAGGAGCAAGUAGAAUCAUUGUUCCCUCCCUCAAUAUAUCACUUUCCUCCCUAGGCCUUAGUUGCCUCUCCCUCCCAUGGGCCAGGUCAAUGAGGGGGUGGGGGAUUCUACCUCUGUUGCUACUUAUAGGUCAAAGGACCACAGCAAGGUCCUCAGUCCAGAUCUAAAAGGCAAAGAGGGCUGUAGCGCUAAAGUUGGAAGUGGGGGAAGGGGCCCAGAACCAAACAGAAUUCUUUCAUCUGAUAACAUGGAGACAUCGGGGCUGUGUCAGUUCCAACCUGGAGCACUGUAGAUGCUCCUGGCCAGUGGUUUUAGAGUGAGCUGAGAGGACUAAUGAGGAACCCCGAACAAAGGGUAUUAUCAUAGUCCAGACCAUUCUGACCUAUCAUAUAUAUAUUGUACUGGGUCAGAUUUGGGCACUGUACAGGAUCACUGUCACCUGAUCAUUCCUAUCUCCACAUCAUUGCAUGUGCUAGGAUACCACUUGCCCUUAGGAUUGCAGUACAUCUGCAGUUCUAUAGCUGUGUCUCCUUCUUGUGCCUCUCAUAUCCAACUGUCAAAUGAAUCAAUACCCCCUUUCUCUGUCCUUCCUUCCCAGGCACACUGUGAAAACAACAGGUCAAGGGCAAAAGCUCUGAGCUAUGCAGAUGCAGGUCUUAGAACAUUUGGGAUCUUCUUUAUCUAAGGCCUUCUAUCUGUUGUUCCAGAAACCCCUUGGAAGAUGAGUCUUUUCCCAUCUCUGACUUUUAUCCCUAAAGUGCUACACUAUGUCCCCCCCUUUCAGGCCAGUAGAAGCGUUCCUUGGACUGUGCUAAAGCCUUAAUGGUAGCACUUUAGGUUAUUAAAAAAAAUCCUGAGGAAAUUGCUGGUUAAAAGAUUUUCAGGAAGUAGAGGGAGGUUCUGCAUUCACUAGGAAAAAUCAUGGACUCAAGACAAAUUGACUCCAGGGAAUGUGAAAGAAAAUUAAUCUAAAGAUAGCUUCUUAAGACAUGGGUUCCAGGGGGGUCGGGUGGCAUUCCUGGAAAGUGCAUGUGCGUGGGGCCUGUGUGGGUUGGGAGGUGGGACUAGAGAAGCACUUUCACAUUCGCUCUCAACUGCCCCCUAGAGCAGCUCCCACGCCCACACCUGGUAGGUCAGCUCCUUGAUGCGGCGCUCACUCUUCCUCAUGCCCUUGACCGACUCCGCGUUGCGCUUCUGCUCGGCCUCCAGCUCAUUCUCCAGCUCCCGCACCCGGGCCUCCAGCUUCUGCAGCUGCUUCUUGCCGCCCUUGAGGGCGAUCUGCUCGGCCUCAUCCAGCCUGUGCUGCAGGUCCUUGAUGGUCUGCUCCAUGUUCUUCUUCAUGCGCUCCAGGUGGGCGCUGGUGUCCUGCUCCUUCUUCAGCUCCUCUGCCAUCAUGGCAGCCUGGGGACGGGAGACGCGUGUAAAAGAACAGAGGCCCGGGGCCUCUUGUCCCUUGAGGAUCACCUUUUUCCCAUCGUGGCGUUUGUUUCCCGAGGCCCUCAGACUCACGCAGCUACAGAGUCAACUUGCCACGGCACAGUGGCCUGGCCUGGACCCAGGGCCCCAUGUCUUUAGCGGGGGCAGGAAGGGGAGCAGUCACUCACAUCCGUGAUGGCCUUCUUGGCCUUCUCCUCGGCGUUCCUGCACUCCUGCACGGCCUCCUCCACUUCAGUCUGAAGCUGGGACAGGUCUGACUCCAUCUUUUUCUUUUGGUUGAUGAGGCUGGUGUUCUAGAUACACGUAGAGAAAACUAUCAAGUAGAUACUUUGUUAUUUGAUUCUACACCUGUAUCCACAGAAAAUUAAAACCAGUCAUUUUUUUAAAGUCUUGUUUUUAUUUAUUCCUUGUAUCCUUUGUUAUUGUGUAUUCCAUGUUUUGUAUCAGCUUUCCCUUUUCUUAUGAAAACGGAUAUGUUCUUGAGGUUUACCUAAAAUUACUCAGCUCUGAAGAAAGACUUCAAGCAGCGAAAGGUCUGCAAUUCUUCUCCUGACAUCUUUGGUAAUGUGUCUAUUCAGGAGCAUGAAAAUAUUGCAGGGAAAAUGGGAACAACUUUUUACCAGGACAAUAUCCUGGAAAUGAUUACAGUUGCAGAAAGAAUAUAGUAGAGUAAUGAAGAGGGGGUGGAGUCAGUGGAUGAUAUCAUUCCCACACAUACUAGAUUACAGCAAAAAGGCCCACAGGACCCUGCAGUAAGAUGGACACGAAAACUCAUUGCAGAGAAGAGCUGACGUCACUGUGUAUGGGACUGCAGAAAAAUGGUGUUCCGUUGAGAAUAUGGCUUACAAGUAGAUGCACUUGUACUUCGUUAAAUGCCCCACAUCUCCCUCUACAGAGCAAUCUGGGGGCUGUCCUCUAGAUCAGGGAUGCCAGAUGACAGCACGCAUUUCACCACUCCCAGAUUUGUGACUUUGGUGGAUCUCGCCAACCAAUCACGACCCCAUUAGCUUUUAAGUGUAGGCCCUCUUCUCAAGGUAGUGAUUCCGACAGCCAUGACUGACAGAUGAGAGAUGGCCCAACAGAUGAAGCAAUUUGCCAUUCUGGUUGGACAUACUCACUCAGAGCAUCUGGUUCAGAAGCUUCAGUGGUGUCCCGGCCUCUGCCACUCAGCAGGUUUGUCCACACGGCCCCUGACCUCCUCACCUGGGAGUGCAGCAGCUGCACCCGCUCGCUGGUCUCGAUCAGCUCCUGCUCCGCCAGCUUCCGAGACCGUUCCGUCUGCUCCACCACGGCCCGCAGCUCCUCCAGCUCAGCCUGCAGCAGGUUGUUACGCCGCUCCACGAUGGCGAUGUUCUCCUUCAGGUCGUCGUUGGCACGGACUGCGUCGUCCAGCUGGAUCUGGGUGUCCU